rnacentral:lncRNA from 1 species
GAGGGGGAACAGAAGGGAGAGAGGAAUUAUGUGUGUAUGGUGGGAUGGCAGAGAAGAUGGGGGCUCAUCUUAACUCUGCCAUGUUGGGCCACAGGUCUCUCUGACCUCAUUGGUUUGUCCACAGAAUGAUUGUCACACGAGUCCUUGGAGUGCAGCAGCCCUCUUGACCACUGGGAAGGAUGCUACACAUGUAACAGCCGUGACUUAACACCAGGGCGACACACAUGUAUAAGCCGCGAGCUAGUGCUCAACCCCCUUGGCGCUCUUGAGAGGACGGUAGAAGCAACUUAAUCAAGAGUCUUUCGAUUUCCUCACUAAACACAUGCAGCUCCCUGCUCAGACACAGGCAGCCCAAGGCCAACCUCACAAUCUCCAGAGCAAUUCCUGGGCCCCGCCAAGAUGAACGCUGGGAAUUUCCUUCUUAAAAAGCAUCUCAACCGUCCAUUUCGGGGGGCAUCCCACCGUCUCCCUCACUUAUACGGGGAGGAGCCGUUAUUUGUAAGGUGGUUACAUUGCAAAGAAAUCUGUUUGCCAAAUUGGAGGGUUGGUUAAUCAUAGCCCCUGACUUCUCGUAGGUGGUUUCUUCAAAGGCUUUCAUUUGUUUGCUGCUUAAUGUAGAAGAAACCUCGUUUGUACCGUUUCUUCUCCUCCCAGGGAGGCCCAAGCUGGGUACAGCUAAUGGACUGUAUAUCACUGACUUUAAUAUCGUUCCAGGCAACCUGAUGCAGAGGCAGAUGGAGGAUUUGAUAUUAUGAAAAGCAUCUACUUUAUUGAGAAUGGAGGUUUAACUACUUGGGUGUCCAUUCAGAAGACAAUUAAGUCCCUAAAAGGUGAAGCUAUGUACUACGUGACCAACAUGAAAACCGGAGCUACGGCAUGCUCUCCCCUUCGCUGCUGGAACCGCCAUAGUCCUGUCUGCUGUGGGCGUUUGGAGCGAGCAUAUCCCAGGUCGAGCUGACUUCAGUUUAAGGCCACCAUAUUAUGAACCACACGACUAAGUUUCUGCUAAGCCACAUACUUAAAGUUCCUAAAUGAAAGGACACUGGGGACCCCCAAGUGACUUCUCAUACACAGUUUCCUUCACCCAUUUUACUGCCUCUGGAGAGUGAGUAGCCUUUGUCACCUGGGCAACCCUACUCUCCUGUCCAUGCAUGGCAGCUCUGCUCCCUGGCGUCUGGUUUGGAAGAUGGGCCCACUUCAGAAGAACUGGCUGUUUUAUCUGACUAGAAGAUUCAGCAGGGGCCUUAUAACUUCCCUCUUCUUUCUCUUCAUCCCCCACCCUCUAGCACACCCAGUUCCCAGCUUCCCUGACUAAAGUUUCCUUCUCCCCUAGAAUGGGAGAACCCGUAUACCAGAACUUCAGUUCAGCUGGUCACUGUGGCAUCCUCAGCCAC